rnacentral:lncRNA from 1 species
GUCCAGAAACGUGCCUAUUUUCCUCCAGCGAGAUCUCCUGUUUGACCUGGUGGAACUCCUUGGCCAUCCUACAGUGGUCCCUGUAAACCUGGACUGACUCUCUCAGAGAGGAGCAGGGAGACACCGGCUAGAAGGGAACAGAUAAGAUCAUUUUAUACAGGGAGGCACCGACUACAGCAGUUUAUACAAGGAGGCACCGGCUACAGCAGUUUAUACAGGGAGGCACCGGCUACAGCAGUUUAUACAGGGAGGCACCGGCUACAGCAGUUUAUACAGGGAGGCACCGGCUACAGCAGUUUAUACAGGGAGGCACCGGCUACAGCAGUUUAUACAGGGAGGCACCGACUACAGCAGUUUAUACAGGGAGGCACCGGCUACUGCAGUUUAUACAGGGAGGCACCGGCUACCGCAGUUUAUACAGGGAGGCACCGGCUACAGCAGUUUAUACAGGGAGGCACCGGCUACAGCAGUUUAUACAGGGAGGCACCGGCUACAGCAGUUUAUACAGGGAGGCACCGACUACAGCAGUUUAUACAGGGAGGCACCGGCUACAGCAGUUUAUACAGGGAGGCACCGACUACAGCAGUUUAUACAGGGAGGCACCGGCUACAGCAGUUUAUACAGGGAGGCACCGGCUACAGCAGUUUAUACAGGGAGGCACCGACUACAGCAGUUUAUACAUGGAGGCACCGGCUACAGCAGUUUAUACAGGGAGGCACCGGCUACAGCAGUUUAUACAUGGAGGCACCGGCUACAGCAGUUUAUACAGGGAGGCACCGGCUACAGCAGUUUAUACAGGGAGGCACCGACUACAGCAGUUUAUACAGGGAGGCACCGGCUACAGCAGUUUAUACAGGGAGGCACCGGCUACAGCAGUUUAUACAGGGAGGCACCGACUACAGCAGUUUAUACAGGGAGGCACCGGCUACGGCAGUUUAUACAGGGAGGCACCGGCUACGGCAGUUUAUACAUGGAGGCACCGGCUACGGCAGUUUAUACAGGGAGGCACCGGCUACAGCAGUUUAUACAGGGAGGCACCGGCUACAGCAGUUUAUACAGGGAGGCACCGGCUACAGCAGUUUUCCAACUCCAGUCCCCCCAACAGCCCAACUCCAGUCCUCCAGUACCCCCCAACAGCCCAACUCCUGUCCUCCAGUACCCCCAACAGCCCAACUCCAGUACCACCCAACAGCCCAUCUCCAGUCCCCCCAACAGCCCAACUCCUGUCCUCCAGUACCCCCAACAGCCCAUCCUGUCCUCCAGUCCCCCCAACAGCCCAUCUCCAGUCCCCCCAACAGCCCAACUCCUGUCCUCCAGUACCCCCAACAGCCCAUCCUGUCCUCCAGUCCCCCCAACAGCCCAUCUCCAGUACCCCCAACAGCCCAUCCAGUCCUCCAGUACCCCC